UUUUCUAUAGUGUAAACUAACACAUAACAUUUUCAUUGUUAUAAUGGAGUUAUCCUAGAAACA
rnacentral:tRNA from 1 species